ensembl:lncRNA
CACAUCGUGAAGCUUAGACAAAGCCAAGCCGGUGUCUGCUUGUGGUGGAAUGUAAAAAGCAGUAACGAUGAUCGAUGAAAACUCCCGGGGUAGAUAGAAUGGGUGGCAAAUAAUGGAUAAAUGUUCCAGAUGAGGCGAGCAUGAGCGCGACAGAGUGGAGAUAUUCCUGGGGUCACACCAAUUCUUGUUCUUGAAUCUUGAAACACACUCCUCCACCUUUGGAUUUACCGGCCUUGGCUGUUCUGUUCAUCCGUAAAACAGAGAAGUUUUCAGACGCCGUUACAGCAGGGUCUGUGACCGAGGUCGUGAGCCAUGUUUCAGACAAACAAAGGAUGUUACAGCUCCUAAUGUCCCGUUGGAAGCUUAUCCUGACUCUAAGAUUGUCCAUCUUAUUCUCCAGAGACUGGACAUUGGCAAGCAGAAUGCUCGGUAGAGGAGGACCGUGAGCUCUUUUCCUCAGUCUGUUGUGAAUCCCAGUGCGUUUCCCGCGGUGUUUCUUGAUCCGUCGCCUUGGGUGGUUAUUCAGCCGUUGUUCAUCUCGACGUUCCGGAGAAUCUCAGAUGGCCACAAUGGAUUGGAGGAUAAAGAGUCCUGAAACAGGAUUCUCCCUUUUGUUCUGGUCAGUUAUUGUUGCAGCUCUGUCGUUUUUCUGGAUCUUUUGUGGUGGUGGUGGUGGUGCUUCAACGUUUGCUGUGGGACACUUUUGAAGGGUUUAAGUGUGUGACCUGAGUGCACCGUGUGGUGUCUGGAAGUGUGCUCUUGGAUUACUAGCACUGGUGAUUACUCCUGUGGGUAACCUCAGCCCUGUAUGUGGAUGAAGUUGGUUUUUGUUUAUUUUUUGAGUUGUGUAAAUUAGUCUUUAUGUAACAUGUUUUCCUGUCUAAAUUAGUCUUUAUGUAACAUGUUUUCCUUUGCGCAGCUUGUCAGUGAACAACGGCUCUGUGUAGUAAAUGCUGCUCUGUGAAAGCACGCACAUGUAGAGAUUUACCACUGAAUACAGAGCCGGCUUUACUGAUGAGAUGCGCAUUAAUAUCGUGCCGAUAUUUAUCGUGCAUCCCUAAUAAAUAAAUAAAUAUAUAUUAUUAUUAUUAUUAU